GUCCACGCCGUAAACGAUGGGCACUAGGUCCUUGGGGGAGCGACCCCUUGAGGGCCGGCGCUAACGCAUUAAGUGCCCCGCCUGGGGAGUACGGCCGCAAGGCUGAAACUCAAAGGAAUUGACGGGGGCCCGCACAAGCGGUGGAGCAUGUGGUUUAAUUCGACGCAACGCGAAGAACCUUACCUGGGCUUGACAUGCACGGGAACUCGUGGGGAAACCCGCGGGGCUCUUCGGAGCUCGUGCACAGGUGCUGCAUGGCUGUCGU
rnacentral:rRNA from 1 species